rnacentral:rRNA from 1 species
GAUGAACGCUGGCGGCGUGCUUAACACAUGCAAGUCGAACGGACAGGCCCUGCUUUUGUGGGGUGCUCGAGUGGCGAACGGGUGAGUAACACGUGAGUAACAUGCCCUUGACUUUGGGAUAAAUCUAGGGAGCUGGGGCUCAUACCGCGUAGGAGCUCCUGAUGCAUGGUGGGGGUUGGAAAGUUUCGGUGGUUGGGGCUGGACUGGCGGCUUAUCAGUUUGUUGGUGGGGUAGUUGCUUACCAAGGUUUUGACGGGUAGCCGGCAUGAGAGGUGGACCGGCCACAUUGGGACUGAGAUACGGCCCAGACUCCUACGGGAGGCAGCAGGGGGGAAUAUUGCACAAUGGGCGGAAGCGUGAUGCAGCAACGCCGCGUGCGUGAUGACGGCCUUCGGGUUGUAAACCGCUGUCGCCUGAGACGAAGCGUGAGUGACGGUAAUGGGUAAAGAAGCACCGGCUAACUACGUG